AAUCAAUGCGAAGGAUUGUUUCAACCAUGUGUAUUCACAAUUCCAUGUGGUCAUGGACGUGUUCGAGGAGUUCCACUAUGGAGGAUACCCCAUAGGUAGGCUUUACCAGACAGGUAGAAGAGGUGGAAAAUCUCAACCGAGCAGACACGGUGCUGUGAUGAAACGCAAGAAAAUGGUAUCGCUAACUGGUCGCUAUCGCAAUAGAUAUGAAGUACGCACUUCAUUGAACCAAGUAGAGGAUAGUGUGGCAGCUAUGUCAAUCGCUUGGAGUGCCAUAAGAUAGUUGUCCAAUUGAUGCUGGUAAUCAGCUAUAAGACCAGACGCGAGUACGAGUAGCCCAAACUUGGAUAUAUUAGAAGAUUAAUAUGCUGAAUGGUGGGUGGAAGUUGUUGGUAGCCAAUCCAGCCAUAGAUUGACGCAAGUUGGGAUGGAAAGAUACGAGGUCGCUCCUUGUGUCUCAGCUCCAUCUCCUAUGUGACCGAAUUACCACUACGUUUUAUGAAGGUAAGGCGAAGGCCUGAGACAAUCUUUCGCGUUGG
rnacentral:ncRNA from 1 species